GUGUCAGCCGCCGCGGUAAUACGUAGGGGGCGAGCGUUGUCCGGAAUUACUGGGCGUAAAGGGCGUGUAGGCGGUUAUUUAAGUCAGGUGUGAAAGACCGGGGCUCAACCCCGGGGAUGCACCUGAAACUGGAUAACUUGAGGGCAAGAGAGGGAAGCGGAAUUCCUAGUGUAGCGGUGAAAUGCGUAGAUAUUAGGAGGAACACCAGUGGCGAAGGCGGCUUCCUGGCUUGGCCCUGACGCUGAGGCGCGAAAGCGUGGGGAGCAAACAGGAUUAGAUACCCUGGUAGUCCACGCCGUAAACGAUGGGUACUAGGUGUAGGAGGUAUCGACCCCUUCUGUGCCGUAGCAAAUGCAUUAAGUACCCCGCCUGGGGAGUACGGCCGCAAGGCUGAAACUCAAAUAAAUUGGCGG
rnacentral:rRNA from 1 species